rnacentral:lncRNA from 1 species
CCAAACCCAAGCCUCAGUCGAGCGAUCUGUUUACGGCGUACCGGUACCCGCCCGAUGCCUUAGCAGUACCCGACUCCAGUACCGGUACUCGGUAACUCAGUACCGGUACCCAGCACCUCUCAACCCAAACCCGAGAGCAGCUUCUCUCGGUUACGCAACAGUUCCGGUACCUCACCCAGGUACCGGUACCUCACCCAGGUACCGGUACUCGGCACCCCAAAUCCUGAAUUUACAGAUUUUGGUGUUAAGUACUCCUCGCGUUCUCGAAUACGAGUAACAGGUUGGUACUCAGUCAACGACCUUCAAAAACACCAGAAAUAGCUCAAAAUACUAUUCUAACACUAGAACCUCGCAAUUUGCUAAAGUUCAGUGUGCUACA